rnacentral:rRNA from 1 species
CAGCCGCCGCGGUAAAACGGAGGGCGCGAGCGUUACCCGGAUUUACUGGGCGUAAAGGGCGUGUAGGCGGCCUGGGGCGUCCCAUGUGAAAGGCCACGGCUCAACCGUGGAGGAGCGUGGGAUACGCUCAGGCUAGAGGGUGGGAGAGGGUGGUGGAAUUCCCGGAGUAGCGGUGAAAUGCGCAGAUACCGGGAGGAACGCCGAUGGCGAAGGCAGCCACCUGGUCCACUUCUGACGCUGAGGCGCGAAAGCGUGGGGAGCAAACCGGAUUAGAUACCCGAGUAGUCCCUGUCUCUUAUAC